AUCUUAGAAUCAGUGGCUCCUUGGGGGAACUCUUCUGAAAUAGCUAUUGAUAUACCCUCUGUUUAGAUACACUGCAUUUCUCUCCCUAAAAGCUAUAGCUCCCUAAAAGCAAGCUGUAGACUUGCAUUAAUGGCAUCCUUUUCAUCUUCAAACCUACUUGUGAAUUUGUUUCUUUUCUCUACUAGGAGCAGAUCCCUGCUUAUAUCAAAACGGAGGCUGUGAACAUAUUUGCAAAAAGAGGCUUGGAACUGCUUGGUGUUCGUGUCGCGAAGGUUUUAUGAAAGCCUCAGAUGGGAAAACGUGUCUGGCUCUGGAUGGUCAUCAGCUGUUGGCAGGUGGUGAAGUUGAUCUAAAGAACCAAGUAACACCAUUGGACAUCUUGUCCCAGACUAGAGUGUCAGAAGAUAACAUUACAGAAUCUCAACACAUGCUAGUGGCUGAAAUCAUGGUGUCAGAUCAAGAUGACUGUGCUCCUGUGGGAUGCAGCACGUAUGCUCGGUGUAUUUCAGAGGGAGAGGAUGCCACAUGUCAGUGUUUGAAAGGAUUUGCUGGGGAUGGAAAACUAUG
rnacentral:sRNA from 1 species